UACAGAGGCCCCGAGCGUUAAUCGGAAUCACUGGGCUUAAAGGGUGCGUAGGCGGACCAGCAAGUGCUUUGUGAAAGCCCCCGGCUCAACCGGGGAACCGCGGGGCAUACUGCUGGUCUUGAGGCAGGUAGGGGUCGCCGGAACAGUAGGUGGAGCGGUGAAAUGCGUAGAUAUCAAGCGGAACACCGGUGGCGAAGGCGGCCUUCUGGACAGUGACUGACGCUGAGACGCGAAAGCGUGGGGAGCAAACAGG
rnacentral:rRNA from 1 species